UACAGAGGUCUCAAGCGUUGUUCGGAUUCAUUGGGCGUAAAGGGUGUGUAGGUGGCGCCGUAAGUCGGGUGUGAAAUCUCGGGGCUUUAACUCCGAAACUGCAUUCGAUACUGCGGUGCUUGAGGACUGGAGAGGAGACUGGAAUUCAUGGUGUAGCAGUGAAAUGCGUAGAGAUCAUGAGGAAGACCAGUGGCGAAGGCGGGUCUCUGGACAGUUCCUGACACUGAGACACGAAGGCCAGGGGAGCAAACGGG
rnacentral:rRNA from 1 species